rfam:Nicotiana attenuata strain TT scaffold04292, whole genome shotgun sequence.
AGCCACUCAAUAAGCACAUAGCGAUAUAUUCUUUCGCCUUUUACUAAAGAAUACCGUGUGUUUGUCGUAAUUAGUGGCAUACGCCAAUUUUUAGAGGGGUUUUCUUAAACGAG